ensembl:lncRNA
UUUUUCCAUAGGAAAAAAAUAUUUUAUUUUUUUAAGAACAAAUUCAGUUUGAAACAGACGAGGAGUGCGGCUUCACGGAGCUUGUGUUCUGGGGGCUGACUGCGAUGUGGAACUAAAGCAGAUCGAAACCUAGGACGGGCUAUUUGAAUAAAACGAAGGGAGAAAAAAAUAUUUAUAACUCAAGCAUAAUACUGUGUUACUUACAAAUUGAACAACGAAAUUUUAAAUAAAUAUCCAUGGUACAUAAUUACGGCACAAAUAUGCAGCAAUUUGGCAACCUUUUAUACCUUAUUUUCCUCUUACAGUGCAAAGGGGAAAUGACACUGCCGUUAGACAAGCUGUAGCUAAAUACAUUGCAAAAUUCAGAUUUUAUACAAAACAUCUUGCUUAGACUUUAUAAAAAACCAACAUUGCUCUAUGUACACAAUCUGGAUAAGAAAAGCCAUUUCUGUCUUGUUUUCAUGUGUAUUUUUUUAUUAAAAACUUGAAUAAGGCUACUGUAACACCCCAAAUCCAAGGACAGUAAAUUCGGAACCUAUUUACACCUUCUUCACUUAAACAUGACGGUGCGAUCCCGAAGCCGGGUGACCAGAAUACAAGCAAGGCAUUUACAGUAACUUUCCAAAGCGGAGCCAACUCCGAAUAAGGGGACAGUUGGCGGAUUGUCAUUUUUUGCACCAGACACAAAACAGACUCACAGAACACUUCCUUUUCUUCAACUGGUGGUGGCUAACUCUUCAUCGGUUCAUCUGAUUUUCCUUUUUCACAGUUUAGCACAUAACUCAAAGGUGGCCAACCGGGGAUACACACGCUUGAUUUCAUUAAAAUCAGACAUUUUCCCAUGUUCCUCUCCUCGCCCCUCUCCCCACUCCUACAAGGAACUUCUGAUGGCUUACAAGAAAAUCUUGUAUGAAUGCACAGAAAGGAGAGGUUGGAGCGACGGAAAGAAUUACAUAUGUACUGCAGCCGGUCGCCAUGGCAACCCUCCACAGAACUAUGAUAUAGAUAUAUAUAAUAUAUACUGGAGAUAUAUAUUAUACAUAUAUGUACACAGGUACACCACACACCCACUCGCAC